rnacentral:rRNA from 1 species
ACGGAAGGCAGCAGUGGGGGAUAUUGCACAAUGGGGGAAACCCUGAUGCAGCGACGCCGCGUGAGUGAUGAAGUAUUUCGGUAUGUAAAGCUCUAUCAGCAGGAAAGAUAAUGACGGUACCUGACUAAGAAGCACCGGCUAAAUACGUGCCAGCAGCCGCGGUAAUACGUAUGGUGCAAGCGUUAUCCGGAUUUACUGGGUGUAAAGGGAGCGCAGACGGCAUGGCAAGCCAGAUGUGAAAGGCAGGGGCUCAACUCCUGGACUGCAUUUGGAACUGUCAAGCUAGAGUAUCGGAGAGGUAAGUGGAAUUCCUAGUGUAGCGGUGAAAUGCGUAGAUAUUAGGAAGAACACCGGAGGCGAAGGCGGCUUACUGGACAGAAACUGACGCUCAGGCACGAAGGCGUGGGGAGCAAACAGGAUUAGAUACCCUGGUA